UGGUGCAGUUGGUAUAGAGCGCUGGUUUCCCAUCCGUAAGGACAUUGGUUCAAGCCCCACUUUCGC
rnacentral:tRNA from 14 species